rnacentral:rRNA from 1 species
AGAGUUUGAUCAUGGCUCAGGAUGAACGCUGGCGGCGUGCCUAAUACAUGCAAGUCGAGCGGUAAGGCCCCUUCGGGGGUACACGAGCGGCGGACGGCUGAGUAACGCGUAGGAACGUACCCCAAAGUGAGGGAUAAGCACCAGAAAUGGUGUCUAAUACCGCAUGUGAUCUUCGGAUGAAAGCUUCGGCGCUUUGGGAACGGCCUGCGUAAGAUUAGCUAGUUGGUGAGGUAAUGGCUCACCAAGGCGACGAUCUUUAGCUGGUCUGAGAGGAUGACCAGCCAGACUGGGACUGAGAACGGCCCAGACUCCUACGGGAGGCAGCAGUAGGGAAUUUUCCACAAUGGGCGAAAGCCUGAUGGAGCAACGCCGCGUGCAGGAUGAAGGCCCUAGGGUUGUAAACUGCUUUUGUUAGCGAAGAUUAUGACAGUAGCUAACGAAUAAGGAUCGGCUAACUCCGUGCCAGCAGCCGCGGUCAUACGGAGGAUCCAAGCGUUAUCCGGAAUUACUGGGCGUAAAGAGUUGCGUAGGUGGCAUGGUAAGUUGGUAGUGAAAGCGUGCGGCUCAACCGCGUAAACAUUAUCAAAACUGCCAAGCUAGAGAGUGAGAGAGGUAGAUGGAAUUCCUAGUGUAGGGGUAAAAUCCGUUGAUAUUAGGAGGAACACCGAUGGCGUAAGCAGUCUACUGGCUCAUUUCUGACACUCAGGCACGAAAGCAUGGGGAGCAAACAGGAUUAGAUACCCUAGUAGUCC